GUGGGGUUCCGGCUGCUGGCCUCGUGGCAGCGGGUGCAUGUCUAAAAUCUGGCCUGGUGGGGAAGAGGUGUGCAUGGACAGGCUAAAAUGUUACCAAGUUCCAAACAUGAUGCCAGCCAUCAGAUCAACAGGAGCCUUUCAAUAACAGAGGGGAGAUUGGAUGGGAGCUUUAGGAAGAAGAAUCUUCCACCAAAGUCACAGAAAUAGCCGCUGAAAGAGGAAGCCGAGCCGGGCUCUGGAAGGUUACACAGGCCAGUAAGAAAGAAAUGGCUUGUAAACUGGACAUAGUGUACAUCUAAAGGAAGAAAUCCAGCUAAUCUGCUGUAAUGUGUUUACAGUGCAUUUGAUGAAUAAAUUAUGCCUGGUGCAGCCAUGCUACAGAUUUCCAUCUGCAGUUGAAGCAGCUCCAGCCUAAACACGGAGGGUGGUUCUGAACCAGAACCAUUUCUGCUUGUGAUAAACACAAAUAAAUGCAAAUCAUAAAAUAUGGCUAUGUGGAUAUAACUGUAUGAGUUCACAAUAACAGAAACAAAGCUCGCUAAAGACACAAGAUUAGACAACAUCCUCAAGACCCCUGCCCACAAUCACCUGAGAGCAGUACGCAGAUGCAAAGAGGAGGACACUUAUGAUAAUAAGUUCCUGGAGCUAAUUAUAAUAUUCCCCGCCUAUAUGCAGGAAUUACAAGAAAGAUUUAUUAGGCCUCUUUCCUGUGCCUCCCUCCCAAAGGUCUCCUCCUUUCUCCCUGAGAAUAAUAUUCAUGGAAUAAAAAACCCCCAAGGAAUUCCUUUCUUUACUGGUGAUUGCAGAUCCAAGCUUUCAAAGGACUGAUUGCAGAGGCCUUGCUGACAAAUCCUGGAGCCAGAAAGAAAAUCUACCUCCAAUUCCAUUGUUUGGACAGAAAACAAUCAGUUUGUCAGCAUGCAAUUUAUUUAAAGAUGGAAAUUCAGGAACUAAACACAAAUCAGUCAGGGAUGCUUUCACUGCCAGCAGAAGGAAUAAGUGAGUUGUCAACAACUGCAAACAAGAAAGUAGAUAAAAACUACAGGAGGCUUUCCUGGUCUCUAAGAAGACAUUUUCUUCUCAAUUUGUUCUAAAUCAAGAGCUAAAGUUUGUCCUGCCUUUUACACUGCCUACCACUUCUGGAAGUUUCAUGAGGACCAAUCUGUCACAGUAUCUGACUUUUGCCCAUGGGCUAGAUCUCUUCUGAAUAAUGACAUGACUGAAAUAACAGCCUAAACUAAAUGGAAUAAUUCCUAAAAAUAAAGUCAGCAUCUUAUAUGUUUG
rnacentral:lncRNA from 1 species